rnacentral:rRNA from 1 species
GGGGAAUUUUGGACAAUGGGCGCAAGCCUGAUCCAGCCAUGCCGCGUGUCUGAAGAAGGCCUUCGGGUUGUAAAGGACUUUUGUCAGGGAAGAAAAGGGCGGGGUUAAUACCCCUGUCUGAUGACGGUACCUGAAGAAUAAGCACCGGCUAACUACGUGCCAGCAGCCGCGGUAAUACGUAGGGUGCGAGCGUUAAUCGGAAUUACUGGGCGUAAAGCGGGCGCAGACGGUUACUUAAGCAGGAUGUGAAAUCCCCGGGCUCAACCUGGGAACUGCGUUCUGAACUGGGUGACUAGAGUGUGUCAGAGGGAGGUAGAAUUCCACGUGUAGCAGUGAAAUGCGUAGAGAUGUGGAGGAAUACCGAUGGCGAAGGCAGCCUCCUGGGAUAACACUGACGUUCAUGCCCGAAAGCGUGGGUAGCAAACAGGAUUAGAUACCCUGGUAGUCCACGCCCUAAACGAUGUCGAUUAGCUGUUGGGCAGCAUGACUGCUUAGUAGCGAAGCUAACGCGUGAAAUCGACCGCCUGGGGAGUACGGUCGCAAGAUUA